rnacentral:rRNA from 1 species
UACGAAGGGGGCUAGCGUUGUUCGGAUUUACUGGGCGUAAAGCGCACGUAGGCGGAUCUUUAAGUCAGGGGUGAAAUCCCGAGGCUCAACCUCGGAACUGCCUUUGAUACUGGAGGUCUCGAGUCCGGGAGAGGUGAGUGGAGCUGCGAGUGUAGAGGUGAAAUUCGUAGAUAUUCGCAAGAACACCAGUGGCGAAGGCGGCUCACUGGCCCGGUACUGACGCUGAGGUGCGAAAGCGUGGGGAGCAAACAGG